AUUGAACGCUGGCGGCAUGCCUUACACAUGCAAGUCGAACGGCAGCACGGGAGCAAUCCUGGUGGCGAGUGGGCGAACGGGUGAGUAAUAUAUCGGAACGUGCCCAGUCGUGGGGGGAUAACGUAGCGAAAGCUACGCUAAUACCGCAUACGAUCUAUGGAUGAAAGCGGGGGAUCGCAAGACCUCGCGCGAUUGGAGCGGCCGAUAUCAGAUUAGGUAGUUGGUGAGGUAAAGGCUCACCAAGCCAACGAUCUGUAGCUGGUCUGAGAGGACGACCAGCCACACUGGAACUGAGACACGGUCCAGACUCCUACGGGAGGCAGCAGUGGGGAAUUUUGGACAAUGGACGCAAGUCUGAUCCAGCCAUUCCGCGUGCAGGAUGAAGGCCCUCGGGUUGUAAACUGCUUUUGUACGGAACGAAAAGGUUUCUAUUAAUACUAGGAGCUCAUGACGGUACCGUAAGAAUAAGCACCGGCUAACUACGUG
rnacentral:rRNA from 1 species